GAUGAACGCUGGCGGCGUGCCUAAUACAUGCAAGUCGAGCGAACGGACGAGAAGCUUGCUUCUCUGAUGUUAGCGGCGGACGGGUGAGUAACACGUGGAUAACCUACCUAUAAGACUGGGAUAACUUCGGGAAACCGGAGCUAAUACCGGAUGAUAUUUUGAACCGCAUGGUUCAAAAGUGAAAGACGGUCUUGCUGUCACUUAUAGAUGGAUCCGCGCUGCAUUAGCUAGUUGGUAAGGUAACGGCUUACCAAGGCAACGAUGCAUAGCCGACCUGAGAGGGUGAUCGGCCACACUGGAACUGAGACACGGUCCAGACUCCUACGGGAGGCAGCAGUAGGGAAUCUGCCGCAAUGGGCGAAAGCCUGACGGAGCAACGCCGCGUGAGUGAUGAAGGUCUUCGGAUCGUAAAACUCUGUUAUUAGGGAAGAACAUAUGUGUAAGUAACUGUGCACAUCUUGACGGUACCUAAUCAGAAAGCCACGGCUAACUACGU
rnacentral:rRNA from 1 species